ensembl:lncRNA
AUGACCAUCACCAUAACCAUGACCACAACCACGACCACAACCACAACCGUAACCAUCACCAUCCCCAUCACCAAAACCAUAACCAUCCCCAUGACCAUGACCACAAUCAUAAUCAUAACCAUGACCAUAACCAUGACCAUCCCCAUCCCCAUCACCAAAACCAUAACCAUCCCCGUAACCAUGACCAUGACCACAACCACAACCAUAACCAUCCCCAUAACCAUCCCCAUAACCAUCACCAUGACCAUAAACCAUGACCAUGACCAUCACCAUAACCACAACCACGACCACAAUCAUAACCAUAACCAUCGCCAUAACUAUGACCAUGACCACAACCACAACCACGACCAUAACCAUCCCCAUAACCAUAACCAUCCCCAUAACCAUAACCACAACCACAACCACAACUGUAACCAUCCCCAUAACCGUAACCAUCCCUAUAACCAUGACGGCAACCACAACCACAACCACAACCAUAACCAUCCCCAUAACCAUAACCAUCCCCAUAACCAUAACCACAACCACAACCACAACUGUAACCAUCCCCAUAACCGUAACCAUCCCUAUAACCAUAACCAUCCCCAUAAUCAUGACCAUGACCAUCUGCAUAACCAUAACCAUCCCCAUAACCAUGACAGCAACCACAACCACAACCAUAACCAGGACCACAACCACAACCAUCCCCAUAACCAUAACCACCCCCAUAACCAUCCCCAUAACCACGACCACAACCACAACCACGACCAUAACCAUCCCCAUAACCAUAACCAUCCCCACCCCCAUAACCACCCCCAUAACCACAACCACAACCGUAACCAUCCCCACAACCAUCCCCAUAACCAUGACCACAACCACGACCACAACCACAACCGUAACCAUAACCAUUACCAUCCCCAUCACCAAAACCAUAACCAUCCCCAUAACCACAACCACAACCACAACCACAACCACAACCAUAACCAUCCCCAUAACCACAACCACAACCGUAACCAUCCCCAUAACCAUAACCAUGACCACAACCACAACCAUAAUCAUCCCCACAACCAUCCCCAUAACCAGGACCACAACCACAACCAUCCCCAUAACCAUAACCACCCCCAUAACCAUAACCAUCCCCAUAACCAUGACUACAACCACAACCAUAACCACAACCAUAACCAUCCCCAUAACCAUCUCCAUGACCAUCACCAUGACCACAACCAUGACCAUAACCGUCCCCAUAACCAUCCCCAUAACCACAACCAUAACCAUAACCAUCCCCAUAACCAUAACCAUCCCCAUAACCGUAAUCAUCCCCAUAACCAUAACCACCCCCAUAACCAUCCCCAUAACCAUAACCGUGACCACAACCACAACCAUAACCAUCCCCAUAACCAUCCCCACAACCAUCCCCAUAACCAUAACUACCCCCACAACCAUCCCCAUGACCACAACCACAACCAUAACCAUCCCCAUAACCAUAACCAUCCCCAUAACCAUAACCAUGACCAUAACCAUCCCCAUAACCAUCUCCAUGACCAUCACCACGACCACAACCACAACCAUAACCAUCCCCAUAACCAUCCCCACAACCAUCCCCAUAACCAUAACUACCCCCACAACCAUAACCAUAACCGUCCCCAUAACCACAACCACCCCCAUAACCAUCCCCACAACCAUCCCCAUAACCAUAACUACCCCCAUAACCAUCCCCAUGACCACAACCACAACCAUAACCAUCCCCAUAACCAUAACCAUCCCCAUCACCAUCCCCACCACCACGACACCACCCCCCCAUAA